rnacentral:rRNA from 1 species
GGCAUCAGGAAGAAAGCUUGCUUUCUUUGCUGGCGACCGGCGCACGGGUGAGUAACACGUAUCCAACCUGCCCUUUACUCGGGGAUAGCCUUUCGAAAGAAAGAUUAAUACCCGAUGGCAUAAUGAUUCCGCAUGGUUUCAUUAUUAAAGGAUUCCGGUAAAGGAUGGGGAUGCGUUCCAUUAGGUUGUUGGUGAGGUAACGGCUCACCAAGCCUUCGAUGGAUAGGGGUUCUGAGAGGAAGGUCCCCCACAUUGGAACUGAGACACGGUCCAAACUCCUACGGGAGGCAGCAGUGAGGAAUAUUGGUCAAUGGGCGGUAGCCUGAACCAGCCAAGUAGCGUGAAGGAUGAAGGCUCUAUGGGUCGUAAACUUCUUUUAUAUAAGAAUAAAGUGCAGUAUGUAUACUGUUUUGUAUGUAUUAUAUGAAUAAGGAUCGGCUAACUCCGUGCCAGCAGCCGCGGUAAUACGGAGGAUCCGAGCGUUAUCCGGAUUUAUUGGGUUUAAAGGGAGCGUAGGUGGACUGGUAAGUCAGUUGUGAAAGUUUGCGGCUCAACCGUAAAAUUGCAGUUGAUACUGUCAGUCUUGAGUACAGUAGAGGUGGGCGGAAUUCGUGGUGUAGCGGUGAAAUGCUUAGAUAUCACGAAGAACUCCGAUUGCGAAAGCAGCUCACUGGACUGCAACUGACA